UGCUGGGCUGCAGCUUUUUGACCCACGACAUGCAGAAUCAUGCACGGAGACAAAGGUAAGUAAAAAAGGUUUAUUAUAAUGUACGAAGGAGAUGAUGGUCUGAGAUCCGAUGGUUCCGGUGGGGUUCUAGAACAGAGACUGGACUGAGUAUAUGCAGGUUUGACCGUGAAAGAAAUGAGUUUGUAGCUUACAGUAGGGCUGUCGCGGUAACCGCAAAAAUGAAAUAUCGCAAUAUGAAGAAGCCCACCGCGCUGCAUCAUGGGCCACCGCGAUUACUGAACUUGGUUCAACUCAAUGAUGCAUGUUGAGAAGGAUGGCUGCACUGGUAUCAAAACGAAACGUUACUUCGCUCCUGUGGGAGCGCUUUGGUUUUCAGUACGUCAGCUGCUGCGCAGCCAGAGUCCUUGGCCGAGACAGAGCUGCCACCAGCGGCAAAAAAUAAAUAAAUAAUAAACGCUCGGAGACCUGCUGAAGUCCCGGACAAGCACUGCUUCUGCAACCGUCCCGAAGAGAGUUUGAGCCGAGCUGGAGCUCACUCGCUACCUGCAGGUGGAAUGCAUCCACCCUAAAGAACCCCCCUGACAUGGUGGAGUAACAACCGGGAGAGAUUCCCUUUGCUCGCCAGAGUCGCACGCAAGUUGAGUUCGGAAGCGAGCGGGGCCGGACCGGAGCGGAGGGGAGCGGAGGUAGUGGAAUUUGGGACUCACAAAUUGGAGGUGAUUGUUCCAGAUGAAAUGACUGAAUGUGUCCAGGGCUGUCCGUAAAAGUUGGAUCUGGGGUCACUGCCACAGGUUUAUGCCUCUGAUUAUGGUGAACCUAAAAUAUGGCGGAGCUGGGUAUAAAUAAACAAAAGACUCGUCUGCAACUUGAAGCUUUAAACUAAAUUCACCUGAUGUUUCAAUACGCUGUACUGAUGUUUUCUAUGUAUUAAAUGGUUUUGCUGACCCUUCUCAAUCUCUUUAAAGGAACUGCCAUAAAUUGUAGAAUCAUUUCAAUUCACUUCAAUAUGUAUGACAUAGCUCUCCUUAAGUUUAUAAUUGUGUUGAUUUAACAGAUUCCGUUCUCUCACUUGUAUUUCUGUUAAAUGCUGUUAAUGUCAUCUUGUUUUAUUUUAUUUGUUCUUUAUUAUUUUACUGAUUUUUUGUAAUACACUUUGAAUGGAAUGAUUCUUUGGACGAAGUUAUCAGAUAGACAAACGAAUGCAGCACCUCAUGCUGUGUUCUCACUUCAUCGUGCUGAUUCUGAACCUUUCCAACCUCAUCGUAGAGUAUUAUUAUUUUUCUUGUUAGAUGCUUAUCAUUUUUGUCUUUAGUUGCUUGAUUUGUACCCUAUUGGUCCUUAUGACUACCAAGAUGAUCGCCUUUCCUUGUUUUACCCCUUCCCUGUCCCUUGAGUCAUGAUUGGUGACAAGUUAUGGAAGUGGGUAGAAUUUCUUAUUGUUUUACUCAUUUGUUCUUUGUUUUGUUGUUUUCUUUUUGUUUGGUUAUCCUAUUCGGAUAAACAGGAGGACUUCUGUUAUGGAAAUUUUAUAUUUCAUUGCUUAAUCCUGUUAACAAAUGUCCUGAAGCAUUCUCACACUCAGACACACACACACACACACACACACAAUCUCUCUCUCUCUCUCUCUCUCUCUCUCUCUCUCUCUCUCUCUGUCUCUCUCUCUCUCUCUCUCUCUCUCUCACUCCCAUUUCUUUCUUAUCUUUUUGUUUAAAUAAAGUCUGUGACCAGAUGCUCGGGGCAUUUUGCCUCGGGCAUAUGGUUGACUUGUUGCUUAAUGUGUCUCUCCUUUUCUCUUCGAUCAGGAAAUGGGUUAUUGGAAAACAUACUGAUGAAAUCCAUAACAGUCAGCAUACUCUGACCUCCUGUGAAGAUGAGUAACUGUCUUCAAUGCUAGUUUUCUUCUAAAUGUAGGAUGGACUCCAGAUUGUUUGGACUUGGCCUUGCACGUCCUCUGAGAUUAAUGGCAAGCAGCGGUUGCAUCGCUAAUCUCAUUGGUGAUGGUUUCACUCCUUGACUUGGUGUUAUAAAACAUCUGAAUGUUCCAGACUAGAAAACUGUCCAAACAACAACUUUUACAGAGUGGCUCACACUUGAUGAUCAUUUAAUCAGGUGUGUUUGAUAAGCAGCACCUGGCUGCGGUUUGCCCUCCCAACUUUUUGGAAACAUUCUUAUUUUUUCUCCUUGUUCGUCUGAUGCUUUCUCCUGAGGCUCCAGACUGCCCCUGCAGAGUGACCUCAUCAGUCUGUCCUGUCUCCAGGUCUUCGUCCAGACCAGCCUUAUCUAUCAGCUCAGUCUUCCAGUUGUCACCCUGAGCAGCUUUUUCUGACCCUGCAGGUCUCCAGUCCUGUUCCUCCUCCUGGUCCUUCAGAGGCGUCUCAUCAUUCUGCUGAUUUAUUGAACAUUGCUGCUCCGGCUUUUCUCCAAGAUUUCACCUUCAGUAAUUUUCUGAUUACCAGUCAUUCUUCAGCUGGGCCAAUACCCUGUUGUACCCACGGUAUAUCAGCCAAUGUAUCACAUCUUGAUAAAGAAAGUCCAAAAAGUUUUAAACUCGGCUCAAAAAGACACCUUAUGUAAGACAGCUGGUGUUGAGACAGGAAGUCACUCUACACGUGUUGUUUGCAUGACAGGACCUUUUAAUUCUCCCCUCUCUGAACAUUAUAUACCUUUUUCUGUUACUCCAUAAGGUUCUUGCAGCCAUGCAUGUUCCUUUAUGUUCUGUACAGCUGUAAAAAUAAGAACUGCACCUCACUCUGGGACUAUUAAUCUCAAUUUUCUCCCCUCGGAAACAAAGAUGAGAUCAAUUCUGGACGUGAGGAGAUGCAACAGAAUGUGUCGACAUGAAGCAUGCAUGAGGUUGUUUUAUUGUGCAUUUAGGAAGUAGUUAUGACUGGAUUCAUUACACAAGAACACACUGAAUUCAAAUCAAAACACAUUUGGUGCCAGAUAACUUAAUGCUUCUGUACGACUGUAUCUUUGGUCAUAUGUAGGCUGAGAGGCCGCUGAUUAAAGCCCAUGAGGGAGAGGCAGCUGCACUUUCACACAGUUGGUUACAAUAAAAAUGUUUCACUUACCUCAAAACCUUCAAGCGUCAUUCUCAAAAAACACAAGAACCUCCAUUUCUGCACCAAAAUUUGGUUUUGUGUGAUUUCUUAAUAGUUUAUUAGAACCUAGUCUUACCCGCGAAACGUACUACGCAGCAAUUAGCCUCCGUUAUAGUGAAUGGGUUCUUUCCACCGGCAGCUAAGUGUGACGUUUUGGGUGCGCCCUAGAAGCGAGGGGACGCUAUUACGUUUCAAGUCUAUAUUUUUUACACGCUACGCUCCCAAAAUACGCCAAACUUCGCAGUUUAGAUCAUGCCAGACAGGAAGUCAAACUCAAAAGCUGUGUGAAACAUCUGGAAUCUUUCAAAAUAAAAGUCAAAUGCAGGUAAACAUACAUCAUUUCCUGUUAAAAUCCACAAAGCCAAGAUAAAACACAGCAAAAAGUAAAUCACAGACCUUUUUUGAUACAUGCAGCUGCCUUUCUUAUUGCUUAUUAUUAUGUGUGGGCAUCUGAAAUCACCAUCGACAUACAUAUAUGGGCAAUGGGUUUCCAUAGACUCCAAUAAUAAGUUUUUGUACUAAAAUGGGAGGUGGCCACCACCGCCAUUUUGACCGUGUCACAGGUUCCGUCAAGCCCAGACAAUUCCAUAAAAGGGAAGAGAGGAGGAGCUGAGGGUGGGGCUGUAAGGCUGGGAUCGACUGACGACACCCGGUCGAACUAGCUACAAGCUAACCCAAAGCUAAUGCGGAGGUGGGAGCUAAGCUAACGGAGGUAGCAACCUAGCUACAAUCGGAGUUAACUGUGCACCACACCAGAGCUUCUGAGUCAGAGAUACGCCGGGCUGACCGCUGGGUAAAACCGGGUGGAACACAAAGGUCUCCGAGAGCUUCACAAGCCGGCAGCCGCACAGCAGACAAGCGCUGCUGAGAUCUGAGAUGCGCAGAGCUGCCGCUGGGGAGAACCGGGAGGAAAGGUUUCCAUCCCAGAGCUCCACAAGCCGGCAGCCCGCGCAGCAGACAGAAGCCACAAUCAGACAGAGAUGCGCCGAGCUGCGGGGAGGGGAUAAGGGUGGAAAACAUCGGUCUCCCGAGAGCUCCACAAGCCGAUAGUCGGAACCCAGCUCCACCAACAUGUUAUAUUUCAACCCAUUUUCUAAAGUGCAGCAUUAUGUUAAAUGCACUGGGUUUUACUCUAUUACAUUUAAAUUUCAUGGUUAAACAGUGCAUGUUAAAAUCUAAGCUCAGCUCGGCAGUGACCUAAAAUACAUAAAUAUAAUUUUACUUACCGAAAAAAAUGAGGUGGAGACUUCUUGGACGUUCUAUUAAUGCAAUUAAUGCCAGAGUAAGUCAUUUUGUCCAACAAUUGCACAAAAAAUAUCCAAAAAAAGAAAUCACAAACACAGAGACUCAAAAUCCCGGAGCAGUUUCCAAGCCAGACCGAGGCUCUACUGAGGCCUUUCCACGGAGCUAGCUCUGCGGUCACGUGGGUCUGAUGCUCAUUAAUUAUACCGAAUUUUAGGCUUUUAAUACACUUAAACAGAAGAGUGAGAAAAAAUUCACCCCCCUCAGAGUUGUCAUGAGUGUAAACUAGAUAAUUGAAACAAAAAACAUGUUUUGGUACCAGGCUGUAAACAUGUUUAUAUCUGCUGUGAAAUUGGUAUUUUUAACAUGGGAGUCAAUGAGGAUUUGCUCGUUUCUGACACCAGCCCCCAGCGGAUGAGGGUGGAACUGCAAUUUUGGUACUUCCGAGUUGAGACCAAUUUCUGAGCCGCAUUGUGGGGGCUUGGAAAUCAUGCGUGGUGUUGAAAUUCUCCCGUGAUUUUUGUGACAUCACAGAAUCAGCUGCGUGGAAUGCUUUCGCUCCUGUUUUGCAUCAGAAUUGUUCCCGGUUGGGAAAGAGCUUGCGGGUAGAAUGCCACUAUUACGUUAUGCAACUGCUUUCAUGACCUGUGAAAAAGGUCGUUUUCUCUGGAGACUUAGUUUAGAUGACUAAAAGUUUAUUUCUAGGCUCAAACAAGGCCUUAAUGUAAAUGUUUUACCACAGGUUGAGUAAAUUUAGGACAUUAUGACGUGUGGAUGUGUUAUGUAUGAAACAGACCUGCACAGUGACAUUUGUAGUAAAUAAUAUAAUAAAAUGUUGCUUUUGCUUAUGGACCAUUUACAAUGGUCUGUCUCCAGUCAUAGCAAAUGAAAUUCACAAUAAGAGCUGAAAAAAUGUAUUUAUUUAUUUAUUUUCUCACUUUUGUUUCAGGAGCAUAUUUUAUACACGUGUCUACAAUUUCAAGGCUCUAAUUGAACUUGCUAACCCUUGCAUCAUGUGAAACUGUCCCAACAUUUGUAAUUUUAACAUGAACCAAAGCAAAAUUGGUGACUGGUGAGACUAAGCUGUUAUAAAG